GCCGAGGUAGCUCAGUGGUAGAGCAGGUGCCUGAAGAGCAUCGUGUCGUCAGUUCGAUUCUGACCCUUGGCA
rnacentral:tRNA from 1 species